AUCCGGCUGACGAGUCCCAAAUAGGACGAAACGUGCGUCUUGGAU
rnacentral:hammerhead_ribozyme from 1 species